CACCCCAUGGGUGCCAGCCGUGUCACGUGGCCGUCCCCAGGACUCGUACCUGCUCCAGUACUUCUCGGACCUGAACCAGUACCUGGCCGUGGGUGUCCCCACCUACUUUGUCACCACCGGUGGCUUCGACUUCUCCUCCCCGAACGGCACCAACGCCAUCUGCUCCAGCGCCGGCUGCGACGACGACUCGCUCACGCAGACCAUCCAGAUGGCCACGCGCUUCCCCAACGUGUCCUACCUGGCCAUCCCGGCCAUGGGCAGGCC
rnacentral:lncRNA from 1 species